UCGGAACUUAUAGUUACAAUGUCAAUGGUAAGUCGCAAAAGAUCGUGCGACAUUUAAUGGUUUUUAUUUUUAUCACAGAGAGAUUGAAUUUGAAUAGACUUUGCCGACUAUGAAUUAACAAUGCAUGACUGUUUGCUGUCCGUAACAGAAGUAUAUUGGCUGUGCUGCGAAAAACUCAACAACGACAGGUUGGGUUCUAAACUGCCUUAACGAAGCUGUAUUCCUGGCGGCCUAAACGAUAAGACGCCCGGUGUACUCGUAACAAGCGAUGCGACUGUGCCGAUGUUCGAAUCCCGGAUGCAGAGGUUAUGUCAGCGACCAGCGUAACCUAACAACAAUGCCACGGACUUCAGCAAUGCCACGGGCAGAGCCAAGCCGCUGCCUACCGCAAACUCACGGGGCUCAAACCUGACGACGUUGCUAGCACUAACCCUAUAACUACGAACAACAUCUUGCAUCAUCGUGAAUCAUUUGAUUUAAAAGCAGUAGUAGCACUUAUAGAAUUGUUGAAUCUUAAACUUUGGAAUUAUGUAUUGUCUGAAUGAGAUCUGUGUGCUUAGUGCAGCGUCCCAAGCGACAAAUGUAGGCAAACGUUCCAACUCCAUACAAAUUUGAGUUAAUUUUUACGCUAUCGAGAAUGUUAAAAACUCGCCCUAAGCACACUGUCUGAUACACCACCGAAAUUUCUUCUGAGUUUCAUACCUAGUCAAAAUUAGGUACACAAAAUAUAAUAUAAAUAUAAAUAUUUACUAACAAUCACGCCACGAUAACUGGUCCCGUGAUAAGUUCGUAAAGAACUUGUGUUACAGGUACCAGAUAACGGAAAUAAAUAUAAGAUUUUUAUUAUACACAUACAUAUAAUAUUUAAUAUACACCCAUAACCCUGGAAAGACAUUUAUAUUUAUCAUACAAAUAUCUUCCCUUGGCGGGAUUCGAACCCGCGACCUCCUUGUGUAGUGACCAUGUCACUUACCACUACACCAGACGGCCGUUACAAAAGCGAGUAUUCUUUCUACAAUUUGCAAAUACUCUUCGAAUCUUUUAACGCUACGUACGGUGUAUACCUUGAUGAAUGUAUAGUUGCGACUUAUGAGGCAACCCAAGGGCAAAUGUUGAUUCGAUCAUUAAUACUAGUUCACAUCAUGAUAACGGAACUUACGACUUCGGUAUAAUGUGGUUUACACGACUAUUUUCCUGUUAUUUAAUCAACAAAAAAAAACUACGAUUUAUAAUAGACUGCUUGCAUUUAAACUGUAUCCUAUAGUAUUAAAGGUUAUUAUCCCAAUA